rnacentral:tRNA from 1 species
GCGGAUGUGGCGAAAUUGGCAGACGCACUAUCUUGAGGGGGUAGCGAGCUAUGCUCAUAUGGGUUCAAGUCCCGUCAUCCGCACCA